rnacentral:rRNA from 1 species
AGGGGUGCGUAGGCGGGUAGGGUAAGUCAGUGGUGAAAUCCUGGAGCUCAACUCCAGAACUGCCAUUGAUACUAUCUAUCUUGAAUAUUGUGGAGGUAAGCGGAAUAUGUCAUGUAGCGGUGAAAUGCUUAGAUAUGACAUAGAACACCCAUUGCGAAGGCAGCUUACUACGCAUAUAUUGACGCUGAGGCACGAAAGCGUGGGGAUCAAACAGGAUUAGAUACCCCGGU